ACGGGUGAGUAACGCGUGGGAAUCUACCGUGCCCUGCGGAAUAGCUCCGGGAAACUGGAAUUAAUACCGCAUACGCCCUACGGGGGAAAGAUUUAUCGGGGUAUGAUGAGCCCGCGUUGGAUUAGCUAGUUGGUGGGGUAAAGGCCUACCAAGGCGACGAUCCAUAGCUGGUCUGAGAGGAUGAUCAGCCACAUUGGGACUGAGACACGGCCCAAACUCCUACGGGAGGCAGCAGUGGGGAAUAUUGGACAAUGGGCGCAAGCCUGAUCCAGCCAUGCCGCGUGAGUGAUGAAGGCCUUUGGGUUGUAAAGCUCUUUCACCGGAGAAGAUAAUGACGGUAUCCGGAGAAGAAGCCCCGGCUAACUUCGUGCCAGCAGCCGCGGUAAUACGAAGGGGGCUAGCGUUGUUCGGAAUUACUGGGCGUAAAGCGCACGUAGGCGGAUAUUUAAGUCAGGGGUGAAAUCCCAGAGCUCAACUCUGGAACUGCCUUUGAUACUGGGUAUCUUGAGUAUGGAAGAGGUAAGUGGAAUUCCGAGUGUAGAGGUGAAAUUCGUAGA
rnacentral:rRNA from 1 species